UUAAAUCAUUAAAUUUAAAAUAUUUGGCGGUAUUUUAUAUUAUUAGAGGAAUCUGUAUAAUAAUUGAUAAUCCACAUUAAGAUUAACUUAAAAAUUUAUGUAUUGCUGUUUAAAGAUUAUUAUUAAUUAAAUUUUUAAAUUUUUAAUUUAAUUUAAUUCAAGUCAAAAUAUAGUUUUAUUAAGAUAUGGAUUACAAUUUUAUUUUGAAAUUGGAUUUAAUAGUAA
rnacentral:rRNA from 1 species